GGAUGUGAGAGCAAUCAGGCUGCGACAUCUGUAACCCCGUUGAUCAACAGGGUUGUUUUGACAGACCUGGCUGGCUAAGUGGGUGAUUCCUUCCUUCUUCACUGCUCUGUGUGUGUCCUUCCUGAAGCUGAGUGCUGGGUUUAAGAGGAUGUCUACCCCCAACAGAAGAGAACCCUUUCCUCAGUCAAGGGUAUAUGAGUAAAUGUGCUCAUCUUCUAGAACCUCUAAACCAUCAUUCAAUAUCAAUGGUCAUUUGAGAAAUGCAAAUUAAAGCAACACUGAGAUUUCAUCUCACUCCAGAAAGAAUG
ensembl:misc_RNA 7SK 7SK RNA